CAUCGAUGCUUUCUGUCUCAUAAUAGCUGGAAUCUUCCUGAACCAUUGCACCUGAUUCAGGAUCAAGGAAAGUUACAACGGAUGGUCUUCUGACAUGGCAAGGAGUCUCAUUGUUAGCAUCCUCUACAACGGAUGGUCUUCUGACAUGGCAAGGAGUCUCAUUGUUACCAUCCUCCCCCUUUUGGAAAGAGACAUCAGAUGAUGAAAGCACAGGUGAGCUUGAAACUGACUCUGUUGUAUCAGAAUCAGG
rnacentral:lncRNA from 1 species